rnacentral:rRNA from 4 species
UUAAAUUGAAGAGUUUGAUCAUGGCUCAGAUUGAACGCUGGCGGCAGGCCUAACACAUGCAAGUCGAACGGUAACAGGAAGCAGCUUGCUGCUUCGCUGACGAGUGGCGGACGGGUGAGUAAUGUCUGGGAAACUGCCUGAUGGAGGGGGAUAACUACUGGAAACGGUGGCUAAUACCGCAUAACGUCGCAAGACCAAAGAGGGGGACCUUCGGGCCUCUUGCCAUCAGAUGUGCCCAGAUGGGAUUAGCUUGUUGGUGAGGUAACGGCUCACCAAGGCGACGAUCCCUAGCUGGUCUGAGAGGAUGACCAGCCACACUGGAACUGAGACACGGUCCAGACUCCUACGGGAGGCAGCAGUGGGGAAUAUUGCACAAUGGGCGCAAGCCUGAUGCAGCCAUGCCGCGUGUAUGAAGAAGGCCUUCGGGUUGUAAAGUACUUUCAGCGGGGAGGAAGGUGUUGUGGUUAAUAACCGCAGCAAUUGACGUUACCCGCAGAAGAAGCACCGGCUAACUCCGUGCCAGCAGCCGCGGUAAUACGGAGGGUGCAAGCGUUAAUCGGAAUUACUGGGCGUAAAGCGCACGCAGGCGGUCUGUCAAGUCGGAUGUGAAAUCCCCGGGCUCAACCUGGGAACUGCAUUCGAAACUGGCAGGCUUGAGUCUUGUAGAGGGGGGUAGAAUUCCAGGUGUAGCGGUGAAAUGCGUAGAGAUCUGGAGGAAUACCGGUGGCGAAGGCGGCCCCCUGGACAAAGACUGACGCUCAGGUGCGAAAGCGUGGGGAGCAAACAGGAUUAGAUACCCUGGUAGUCCACGCCGUAAACGAUGUCUACUUGGAGGUUGUGCCCUUGAGGCGUGGCUUCCGGAGCUAACGCGUUAAGUAGACCGCCUGGGGAGUACGGCCGCAAGGUUAAAACUCAAAUGAAUUGACGGGGGCCCGCACAAGCGGUGGAGCAUGUGGUUUAAUUCGAUGCAACGCGAAGAACCUUACCUGGUCUUGACAUCCACGGAAGAAUUCAGAGAUGGAUUUGUGCCUUCGGGAACCGUGAGACAGGUGCUGCAUGGCUGUCGUCAGCUCGUGUUGUGAAAUGUUGGGUUAAGUCCCGCAACGAGCGCAACCCUUAUCCUUUGUUGCCAGCGGUCCGGCCGGGAACUCAAAGGAGACUGCCAGUGAUAAACUGGAGGAAGGUGGGGAUGACGUCAAGUCAUCAUGGCCCUUACGACCAGGGCUACACACGUGCUACAAUGGCGCAUACAAAGAGAAGCGACCUCGCGAGAGCAAGCGGACCUCAUAAAGUGCGUCGUAGUCCGGAUUGGAGUCUGCAACUCGACUCCAUGAAGUCGGAAUCGCUAGUAAUCGUGGAUCAGAAUGCCACGGUGAAUACGUUCCCGGGCCUUGUACACACCGCCCGUCACACCAUGGGAGUGGGUUGCAAAAGAAGUAGGUAGCUUAACCUUCGGGAGGGCGCUUACCACUUUGUGAUUCAUGACUGGGGUGAAGUCGUAACAAGGUAACCGUAGGGGAACCUGCGGUUGGAUCACCUCCUUACCUGAAAGAAGC